AAGAUCAUACUUCAAAGGAUCAUUUCUAUAGUAUGAUUGGGACGAUUCGUUGACAAAACGAAGUCCAACUCAGCCACGAUGAAGAUUUAAGGAGCUUCUUCCUGAGCGGGAAACCGAGUGUUCACCAUUGACUUCGGUCUUUUGGCGACUCUCAUUGAUGACCGUUCCUGCCUGGGGUAACAUCCAGGUGGGAGGGGAUUAGCUCGAUCUGAGUGGU